rnacentral:tRNA from 1 species
GGGUGUAGUUCAAUUGGUAGAGCAGUAGACUUCAAAUCUAUUUGUUGCGGGUUCGAGUCCUGUCACCC